GAUGAACGCUGGCGGCGUGCCUAAUACAUGCAAGUCGAGCGAAAAGAUGAGGUCCUUGCUCCUCUGACGUUAAAGGCGGACGGGAGAGUAACACGUGGAUAACCUACCUAUAAGACAGGGAUAACUUCGGGAAACUGGAGCUAAUACCGGAUAAUAUAUUGAAGCGCAUGGGUCAAUAGUGAAAGACGGUUUUGCUGUCACUUAUAGAUGGAUCCGCGCCGCAUUAGCUAGUUGGUACGGUAACGGCUUACCAAGGCAAGGAUGCGUAGCCGACCUGGGAGGGUGAUCGGCCACACUGGAACGGAGACACGGUCCAUGCGCCUGCGGGAGGCAGCAGUAGCGAAUCUGCCGCAGUAGUCGGAAGCCUUGCGCAGCAACGCCGCGUGAGUUGUGAAGGUCUUCGGAUCGUAAAACUCUGUUAUUAGGUAAGAACAAAUUUGUAAGUAACUAUGCACUUCUUGACGGUACCUAAUCAGAAAGCCACGGCUAACUACGUG
rnacentral:rRNA from 1 species